rnacentral:rRNA from 1 species
AUUGAACGCUGGCGGCAGGCCUAACACAUGCAAGUCGGACGGUAGCACAGAGGAGCUUGCUCCUCGGGUGACGAGUGACGGACGGGUGAGUAAUGUCUGGGGAUCUGCCCGAUAGAGGGGGAUAACCACUGGAAACGGUGGCUAAUACCGCAUAACGUCGCAAGACCAAAGAGGGGGACCUUCGGGCCUCUCACUAUCGGAUGAACCCAGAUGGGAUUAGCUAGUAGGCGGGGUAACGGCCCACCUAGGCGACGAUCCCUAGCUGGUCUGAGAGGAUGACCAGCCACACUGGAACUGAGACACGGUCCAGACUCCUACGGGAGGCAGCAGAGGGGAAUAUUGCACAAUGGGCGCAAGCCUGAUGCAGCCAUGCCGCGUGUAUGAAGAAGGCCUUCGGGUUGUAAAGUACUUUCAGCGGGGAGGAAGGCAGUGAGGUUAAUAACCUUACUGAUUGGCGUUACCCGCAGAAGAAGCACCGGCUAACUCCGUGCCAGCAGCCGCAGUAA